AUGUUAAAAGCAAGAGACAUGGGAGAGCAUUAGGGAUGCACGAUAUUGGAUUUUGGCCGAUAUUCGAUAUGCCGAUAUUUUCAAAAUAAUUUUGGCCGAUGCCGAUACCGAUAUCGAUAUAUAUACAAAUAUAUACUGAUAUAUUUAAACUUUAAUUUUACUGAAGAGAAAUCCAUGUAUCUCUUCUGUACUGAUUCUACCAUAAAUUUAUUAUUUUACAAAUGUAGACAGACAUUCACAUCUGAAAAACAGGUCAAUUAUUUCACUUGGAGAAUAUCGGUUUGGCUCAUCGGCAGAAAUAUUCAUAUCGGCCGAUACCGAUAAUGGUCAUUUUAAGCUUUUAUCGGCCGAUACCGAUAUUGUGCCGAUAUUAUCGUGCAUCCCUAGAGAGCAUCAUUCCUUUGAGAUUUUAUAACUCAAACCAACUUUGGAGUUGUCUGAUUUGGAGAGUCAUUAUUCUUGGACUUCGCUCUUAGUGGCCACUGAUGAAGAGCAGGCGGUGACUGGGAUGAAUGCUGGUCAGAGAGGAGAAUCUUCUUUCCCCUAAACAGCAGUGGUUUUAAAGGAGGACGCUGCCCUGGAUGAUGUAGAAGAUGUCACAUGCUGUGCUGAUGGGGCUUCUUCAUGAUUACAUCAGUUAUGCUAAAGAGAUCAUGAAAAUUGACCGUGAUGCAUGAUCUGUAUUCAUGGACUAUGAAACAAACUGUAAGUGUAUAAUUUGUUAAAAAAAAAAAGUUAAAUGCUUUUUCUGUGUUGUUUAGUAGAAGAGUUUACACUGUCAUUCAUACACCUGCUCACAUUCUUUCACACACACACACACACACACACACACACGUCUGUUAAAUGUUAUAAUAUCAAAGUUAAUGUUGUGAUUUGUGUACUGUCAUGCCAGAAUAGUUGGAAAAAAACCUAACUAAUUGUAAAUUUAUUGUAUGUGUUUUCGUAUAUUUUUAUACAAUAUACAAUUGAACAAAGUCCAAUUUGAUCUUAAGUUAUAUUCAUCAAAUGUUCAAUGCUUUGUUUAUGAAUUCUGUAGCUGUUAAUGCCAUCCUUUUCUGCAUUUCUUCUAAUAUGUUACUUUUUGACUUUUCUCUUGUUUUUAAUAAAUAUUUUCCUUUUGGUAAUUAUUA